CUUCCUUUCCUGUAUUAAGCAAAUGAUGCUUCAGUGCUUCUAGUUCUCUCCACCACUGCAAAAUGUUCAGAGAAGUGGAAGGAGAGAAGGGAAGUUGUCAGACACCGAAAGAUACUUAAAAGCAGCCUCCAAAUUUAAAGUGAAGACUGAGGGGGGGGGGUGCCCUCUUCCUGAAGAGGGAAUGGGGGUCCGUACCCUAAAAAGGGACCCUCUGCGUGGGUGAGGGGUGCCUCCACUCUGAAAGAGAGUUCAGUAUGUGGAAAGGGGGAGGAAUGUUGUGCCCUGAAGCGAGGUCAGGGUUUCAGAAAGGGGUGCUUCAACCCUGAAGAUGGGUCUGUGGGGGGAGCCGUGAGUGUAUGGGAGGGGUGUACCAGUUACUGGGGGGGGCCUCUCUGAGAGAGGGGGUUUCCACUUUGGGGAAGGAGGGCCCAGCACUGAAGGGGACGCUGGGAGGAAGGGAGGGUCUUGCUGGGGAGGGCUGGGCAUGGGGGAGGGGAGGGAUUCUGAGUCCACCAGAGCCAGAAGAGGGGCGGCAGCCUCGAGGGGAACAUGUGCAGUGGAACUACUACCAUCCCCAGGGGCAGGGUGGAGAGCAGGGCCUGGGCUGUGUUUGGACAGAACAAGGCUCCCACCCUGCGCAGAAGCCGGAGGAGUCCCCAGCCGUACUCACCGAGGCUGCCGGCGAAACCGUCCAUCUUGCGGGGAAAGAGCCGGGCUCGGGGCUCAGCGGGGCGGGCACUUCAUUCAGCGGACCGACAGACUGGCCAACGCUGAGCCUGACCCGCUCACUCUCUAGGUCGCCCGGCUCGACUCCUAGCCCCCGCCUCCGUCGUCCGUCGGUCCGUCCGCCCCGGGACAGUCAGCC
rnacentral:lncRNA from 1 species